rnacentral:rRNA from 1 species
GACGAACGCUGGCGGCGUGCUUAACACAUGCAAGUCGAACGGAAAGGCCCUGCUUUUGUGGGGUGCUCGAGUGGCGAACGGGUGAGUAACACGUGGGUAACCUGCCCUUGACUUUGGGAUAACUUCAGGAAACUGGGGCUAAUACCGGAUAGGAGCUCCUGCUGCAUGGUGGGGGUUGGAAAGUUUCGGCGGUUGGGGAUGGACUCGCGGCUUAUCAGCUUGUUGGUGGGGUAGUGGCUUACCAAGGCUUUGACGGGUAGCCGGCCUGAGAGGGUGACCGGCCACAUGGGGACUGAGAUACGGCCCAGACUCCUACGGGAGGCAGCAGUGGGGAAUAUUGCACAAUGGGCGGAAGCCUGAUGCAGAAACGCCGCGUGCGGGAUGACGGCCUUCGGGUUGUAAACCGCUUUCGCCUGUGACGAAGCGUGAGUGACGGUAAUGGGUAAAGAAGCACCGGCUAACUACGUG